rnacentral:lncRNA from 1 species
GGAGGCCCCGGGCCUGGUGUUCCGCACGUUCUAAACCGCCUGUCCCCGAGGAAGUCGGGCAGGGUCGGGCCGGACUCAGCGCCGCUGGCGGGAGCGCCGUCCGCCCCGAGGACCCUGCGGGCCCGGAAGCCGAGACAGGGCCGCCCACGUCAGCGCCUGGCGCGGGCCCGAACGUAAAUGGCGCUCCUCCGCGCCGCAGCCGCAGCCGCCCCGCUCCCUUCCCGCUCCGCCAGCUGCCGCCCUCCCGCGCUCGCUUCUCGCCCCGCGGCCUGGCCCGUGCGCCUCCGAGGCUGGCCAGGGGCACCGAGGCCGCGGGCCCCCCAUCGCCCCCACCCGAGCCCUGAUUUACCGUCCGAGAGCCGGCGGCACAUGGGACCCCGAGAGGAGAAGCGCGCCUGCCCCAAAACCACGGCAUGGAGACGGAAUGAUGCAGACUCCUAUCCGCGAGAUACCUGCUGUAAUUUCGCUGUGGUUCGUGAGGACGCGUCCUGGGCUGCCCUGAGAAGCCUACGUCUCCCCUUCGAGGCCCGGGAAGACCUCCAACCCCGCUGACAAUGCUGGGCCCUCAGCCAGACCUGCCCUGCGUGCCACGUUCUGUUCUAAGAUCGGGCUGCCGAGCUGUGGCCUGGAGGAAACCUGGCAGGUGUCACCAGAGCUUUGGGGAGGGUGAGGCCCUGUCGGGGAAGCCCAGUGGGAGUCAUGAAGGAGGGAACACGUGUGGAGCCCUUGUAGGGGGAGG